UACAGAGGUCCCAAGCGUUGUUCGGAUUCACUGGGCGUAAAGGGCGCGUAGGCGGCCUUCUAAGUCGAACGUGAAAUCCCCGGGCUCAACCCGGGAACUGCGUCCGAUACUGGAAGGCUUGAAUCCGGGAGAGGGAUGCGGAAUUCCAGGUGUAGCGGUGAAAUGCGUAGAUAUCUGGAGGAACACCGGUGGCGAAGGCGGCAUCCUGGACCGGCAUUGACGCUGAGGAGCGAAAGUGUGGGGAGCGAACAGG
rnacentral:rRNA from 1 species